UCGUGAGAGAGGCCAAGAGAAAGUUUUCACCCUCAAAACCCUAACAUACUAAUUCCAUCAAAUUGAAAAGGGGAAUCAAGGAUUUUUCAAAUGCAUGAGCCAAUAACUUCGACUAUCUAAGUGUUCUUGACAUCUAGAACAAAGAAGGAAGAAGGCACAAGUCACUUGAAGUCACAAGCAUCUCAAGAUCGCGGUAAAUCCCUUGUUUAAUUUCGGCGCGCUCGGACCGAACACACACACAAUGUCGACUUUAUGCGCUUCCGGUUCAAGUUGUUAUUUUGAAUGGGUCAAAUUACCAUUUUGUGUAGUAAAUGUUUAACUAGUAACUAGGAUAAUAGUAGUAGUUUGAAGUUUAAACUUUGUUUUGAAUAGUUCGGAUUUAAUGUUUUGAUGAAAUGUGUAAGGUUCUAAAUCUUAGUAUGU